rnacentral:rRNA from 1 species
UAACACGUGAGCAACCUGCCCCAAGCUUUGGGAUAACCCUCGGAAACGGGGGCUAAUACCGAAUAUUACUUCUGGCCGCAUGGCUGGUGGUGGAAAGUUUUUCGGCUUGGGAUGGGCUCGCGGCCUAUCAGCUUGUUGGUGGGGUGAUGGCCUACCAAGGCGACGACGGGUAGCCGGCCUGAGAGGGCGACCGGCCACACUGGGACUGAGACACGGCCCAGACUCCUACGGGAGGCAGCAGUGGGGAAUAUUGCACAAUGGGCGGAAGCCUGAUGCAGCGACGCCGCGUGAGGGAUGACGGCCUUCGGGUUGUAAACCUCUUUCAGCAGGGACGAAGCGAGAGUGACGGUACCUGCAGAAGAAGCGCCGGCCAACUACGUGCCAGCAGCCGCGGUAAGA